AGCAGUCGCCGCGGGAAUACGGAGGGGGCUAGCGUUGUUCGGAAUUACUGGGCGUAAAGCGCACGUAGGCGGCUUUGUAAGUCAGAGGUGAAAGCCUGGAGCUCAACUCCAGAAUUGCCUUUGAGACUGCAUCGCUUGAAUCCGGGAGAGGUGAGUGGAAUUCCGAGUGUAGAGGUGAAAUUCGUAGAUAUUCGGAAGAACGCCAGUGGCGAAGGCGGCUCACUGGACCGACACUGACGCUGAGGCGCGAAAGCGUGGGGAGCAAACAGGAUUAGAUACCCGGGUAGUCCCUGUCUCUUAUAC
rnacentral:rRNA from 1 species